rnacentral:tRNA from 1 species
UCCUUGGUAGCUCAGUGGUAGAGCAAGCGACUGUUAAUCGCUUGGUCGCAGGUUCGAAUCCUGCCCAAGGAGCCA